rnacentral:rRNA from 1 species
GAUGAACGCUGGCGGCGUGCCUAAUACAUGCAAGUCGAGCGAACUGAUUAGAAGCUUGCUUCUAUGACGUUAGCGGCGGACGGGUGAGUAACACGUGGGCAACCUGCCUGUAAGACUGGGAUAACUUCGGGAAACCGAAGCUAAUACCGGAUAGGAUCUUCUCCUUCAUGGGAGAUGAUUGAAAGAUGGUUUCGGCUAUCACUUACAGAUGGGCCCGCGGUGCAUUAGCUAGUUGGUGAGGUAACGGCUCACCAAGGCAACGAUGCAUAGCCGAGCUGAGUGGGCGAUCGUCCACACUGGGACUGAGACACCGCCCAGACUCCUACGGGAGGCAGCAGUAUGGAAUCUUCCGAAAUGAACGAAAGUAUGACGGAGCAUCGCCGCUUGAGUGAUGAAGGCUUACGGGUCGUAAAACUCUGUUGUUAGGGAAGAACAAGUACAAGAGUAACUGCUUGUACCUUGCCGGUACCUGCAGAAAAAGCACCGGCUAACUACGUGCCAGCCGCCGCCGUAACAC